UACAGAGGGGGCAAGCGUUGUUCGGAAUUACUGGGCGUAAAGGGCGCGUAGGCGGCCUGUUAAGUCGAACGUGAAAUCCCUGGGCUCAACCCAGGAACUGCGCCCGAUACUGGCAGGCUUGAAUCCGGGAGAGGGAUGUGGAAUUCCAGGUGUAGCGGUGAAAUGCGUAGAUAUCUGGAGGAACACCGGUGGCGAAGGCGGCAUCCUGGACCGGUAUUGACGCUGAGGCGCGAAAGCCAGGGGAGCAAACGGG
rnacentral:rRNA from 1 species